AGCAAUCAGCGAGACUCCGUGGGCGUAAGACCCUCCGAGCCAGGUGCGGGAUAUAAUCUCGUGGUGCACCGUUUUUUCAGCCCGUCGGAAAAGCGCAGUAUUCAGGUGGGAGUGAUCUGAUUUUCCAGGUGCCGUCCGUCACCCCUUUCUUUGACUGGGAAAGGGAACUCCCUGACCCCUUGUGCUUCCCAAGUGAGGCAAUGCCUCACCCUGCUUCGGCUCGCGCAAGGUGCGUGCACCCACUGACCUGCGCCCACUGUCUGGCGCUCCCUAGUGAGAUGAACCCGGUACCUCAGAUGGAAAUGCAGAAAUCACCGUCUUCUGGCGUCGCUCACGCUGGGAGCUGUAGACCGGAGCUGUUCCUAUUCGGCCAUCUUGGCUCCAAAAUCCAGCCAUAUUUUGAGAUUCUCCUAUGUACCUGAAUCUUCAGAGAGCACAGGAGAUGGACAAACUCUGUGGGUGCUGUCAAGGUGUGUGCGACCAAGGAAUGGGAGACUAGAGGAACCCA
rnacentral:lncRNA from 1 species